ensembl:rRNA 5S_rRNA 5S ribosomal RNA
GACAUUUGGUAGAGACUGUUGAAGCCACCUGGUCCCAGCAGACCCCAGAAAAAGGCCACAUUCACUGGUGCUGUAACAAGAUCAUUAAGGGUGAAGCUUGGUGUCAGAUGUGU